rnacentral:lncRNA from 1 species
ACUUUUAAAAAUGCUGAUUUUUUUGUCAAACUCUGUUUGACCUUGUUGAACUUAGGAUAAUUCACUUGGACUUUUUAAAGUUGAUUUGAAGUGAAUUUGAAGUUUGACCUUUCUUUAAUAUUUUAAUUCAAGUUUAUUUUUAAAUAUUAAAAAUGCCAAAAAUAUUUUGUUUAUUUCUUGACUUCCAAUCUUCAUCUCAUUUCUGAUUUUUGUGGUUUGACCUUGAUCUCCCCUAUCUUUGGUCAACAUUUAUGGAUUGGUACAUUCCUUAUCAUUUGAUGCAUUUUAUUUUCUUCUUUUCCAUUAUCCAUCUUCU